rnacentral:lncRNA from 1 species
GCCAGAAGAAAAACAAGCAAUAAAAGAGGAAGGAUGGCUCAGAAAUUAAGCUGCUAGCCCGAUCUGCGGGAUAUAUAGGUUUAGUUUCUUGCUCCACCCCAGGCUUCCUGUGUGAUCCUGUGUGGCCUUAGGUAAACCAUUUAGGGAGGCAUUUUUAAAAGUGCUUAAGUGACUUAGGUGCCUAACUCCCAUCACAUUGACUUUCAAUAGGGGCUAGGAACUUACCUUAGGUGCUUUUGAAAGUCUCACUCUUAGUCUCUCAGUUCUUCAUCUCUAAAAGGGGAAUAAUAGCAGAUCCCUACCUCAUAAGGAUGUUGGCAGGAAAGACACGUUUAAUAUUGUCAACAAGUCAGAUACUACAGCAGUAAGGGCCCUAGAUAGUGACUCAUCACACAUAACCACUUGCCAGGGGAUCGUGGUAAACAACAGUAAGGGCCAAGGGCCAUGGGAUAAAAGCAGAAAUACAGUGGGAAGCCCUGUCCAGACCUCAGGCUUUGACAAUGCACCGUGUGGCUCGCCCUGCCACUGAGCUGAGGGUGUAUCCCAUGGAGCCUGCCCCGCGCCGGUGGGAUGGGUUGAGGCGGAUGUGAGAGGAUCCAGGGUGGGUGUGUAGGAGCGCAGCAGCUGGAGACGGGAGAGAAGCACUGUGAAGGGGAGGAGGCAGGAGCUUGAGAGGAUCCAGGGUGAGCUGCGUGUGUCUUUGAUGGGAAGAAGAGGCAGCAGGGAGGCUGUGGAGAACGAGCGUCUCUCUGCCGGGAUGAGCGGACACAGAGGCUGAGCGUCCGUGUUUGGCAGAGAGCAGGCGGCAGGAGUGGGGUGAGNAACAGCUGUCUCUUAUACACAUCUAGAUGUGUAUAAGAGACAGGGGGGAGUGAGCCGUGGGGGGGGGAAGAGGCGGAUACACGGGAGCGGGCUCUCCUCCCGGUAGGCUGCGCUGUGAUCAGACCGGCGGGUUGUGCUCGCCCCCUUCCCCCUCCGCUCAGAGCCCCAGGCAGGCAGAGUCCGGAGCUGCUUGCCGAGCGGUCGCGCCUCCAGCCUUCUCCUCCCGGCCCCAGUCCCGGGCUGCGCGCUGCACCAGGAGGGCGCAGCGGGGCAGGCUCCCGGGCUCAUGGAGAUCGUGCAGCGGAGGCAGAGGGGGAAGUCCCGGAGCUGAUGCGUCGCCUUUGCUUCUUGGGGUUGCUUGUUUCCUUUAUGGAUUGUCGCUUGCUGUGUUUGGUCUCUUGCACUUCCUGUCUCAUACUCUAG